UCUUCUUCUUCUUCUUUUUAAAAAAAAAGGUAUCAUUUUUCUUUUGAAUGGGAAUAUUCCUGGUGGAGGAUUUUGACUAUUGAUGAUCUUAAAUAUAAGGGGAAAGUCAUGAUCAAUAUUCAAUUUCCUUGCAAAGGACCUUGAGUCAGUUGAUCGUCUUCUUUUGCAUUGAAAUAGGCAUUUGAGGGAGGUAGGGAGGUGGCUUGCAUGUUUAUGGGGACAUUCUGGGUGGCGGCAGGAUCUGUGGAGUGGACUUGAUUUGGAGUGCUGUUUAUUUCUCCUCUCAUCCCUCGCUGUUUUUGGAUUGUGUGGAAGGGAGGAAUAGUAGAACUUAUGAGGGUGUAGAUUUUUUUUCCUUCCAUACUUAAGGCUACACAUGUGAUAUGAAUCAUAUGAUUUAUUUAGAGACUCUGUCUUGCACAUGAAAUUUCUCAUACUGCUAACAGGAGUUUUUUACAUUUGCUCACCCCCUUGGUGCUUUUUAAUAAAAAAUUCUCAUUUUUUCCAUUAAAAAAAAAAGGUUUCUCACCAUUCAGUGAUGAGAAAGUCCUUUGGGCCCAACUUUUGAUGCACCAUGGUAAAAAAUGCGAUAUUUUGAGAAUAUUUUUACCUAUUAGUGGGACCAUAGUUGCUAUGUUAUUUGUGGCUGUGAGUUUGAUCUCAGGUAGAGUUUGUAAGACUUUUCUGCAUGGUCCAUUAAAAUAUUGACAUUUCAAGAGAUUCUGUGUUUUCGUUUUCAUCGUCAUUUGUGGUUAUGUGGGACACUUUAUUUAUUUAUUUAUUGUGAUAGAAAUAUGAAUUACUUCUGCAUAUGAUAUUGACUAUGCAAGAGGGUGAAAAGAUGUGGAAGAUCAAAAAAUAAUCAUGAUAAUCAUGCUGUCUCAUGUUUGAUCCCCAGGUUGAUUUUGUUAUGGAGUUGCUGUCCAAACUUGUGAGUAGACAGGUGUGGAAAAUGCCAAAAUUGUGGGUUGGGUUUCUGAAAUGUGUGUCUCAAACAAGGCCACAUUCUUUCCGUGUAUUAUUACAGUUACCACCUCCACUACUUGAAAGUGCUUUGAACAAGCAUGCUAAUCUCAGAGGCCCCUUGGCUACUUAUGCAAGUCAACCAAGUAUCAAAACUUCACUACCU
rnacentral:misc_RNA from 1 species